CAUCGAUAAAAGUUCGUGUAUAGUACUGAUAUAGUACUAUAUAUGUAACUUGUACAGUUUUGCUUUAAUUUGUGCUCACUAUUUGCAUAAAAAGCAAAUUAUAACAGACCAUAGAUGAUAGACCCUCAUCCAGUGCUCUCAUCAGUUUACUUCUCUAACAAGCAAGGAUGGGGGGGGGGGUUUACAUAACAGUUCAUUUUUCAUAAUUAUGAGGACAGAGCAGAUGAUGAUGAGAGAUGCAAGUAUAAAACACCAUUCACAAGGCUAGAUGUUAACAUAGCACAGUAUUUCUGGCAAUAAAACGCUCCAACUGACCAACUGACCAUUUCAC